rnacentral:lncRNA from 1 species
GCCUUCUGGUUUUCUAUGUCACAGAAAUUGACCAGUCAGUGAACCCAGGUCUCUUGCAUUGUAGGCAGAUGCUUUACCAUCUGAGCCACCAGGGAAGUCAACCAAAUACUAGUAAACUGCAGAUUCAAACACAGGCAAAUCCUCCCAGGUCACAGAUGUAGCAAAUAUUUUAAAGGUCUAGAUAGCCAGUAUUUUUGUCUUUCUAGAUCAUCCGACCUCUACUGAAGCUACUGACUCAGAUCCUCUAGUCCCCUAACUACCUUAGAUAAUAAACAAAUGGAUAUGGUUGUUCCAGUAAAAUUUUAUGUACACAUACAUAUGGCUGAUGUUCAUAGCUUGCCAACUCCUACCCAGAUGAUUAAAUAGCCAGGGAAAUAAUGCCUAAGUGUGACACUGAGGGCACAUGAAGUUAUCUAUUAAUAAUUUUGGUUCAUUUUUCUCAACAGAAUCAAACUGUGAAUGGGGCCUCCUGAACUUGCUGCUGCAGCCCCACCCCUCGACCACCUAUGUGGAUUCAGCAGAGCAUCUAUGUUUAUUCAGAUGGACCACACUCUCUCCCUCCCUGUCCUCAUCAGUAUUGUCUGGACCAUGGUUGUCUCCGACCCAAACUCAAAAUCUGAUAUGGAAGGAAAAGAAGAUUUGAGUCAAAGCAAUAGAAACAAGCUGGCGCUUAUCUUUUGAUGAUUUAAUUGAGGUGGAAUCUAUCAACCAACUCACCCAGGAGUCCAUCAGCCAACAAGUUCAGAAGUAUAGGAAACAACAGGCACUAGAUUCAGGUAUUUUCCAAAAGGAAGCACUAACCAGUCAUAUGAGUGACAAGGGCAUCAACAGAAUCAUAUCGUGGACUGAGUUGUGUCUCCAGAAUUUAUAUAUUGGAACCCCAGCACCCUAUGUGAGGUCAUAAGUGUGAAGGCCUCAUCCAAUAUGUCUGGUGUUUUUAUAAGAGAAGGAAGAGGUGCCUGGGAUGCCUGCACACAGAGAAAAGGCCAUGUGAGGACAUAGAAGGGGGCCUUCUGCAAGCCAAGGAGAGAUGCCUCGAGAGAAACAAACCUGCCCACACCUUGGUCUUGGACUUUGAGCCUCCAGAACUGUGAGAAAAUAAGCUGCUGUUGUUUAAGCCACCUGGUCUGUGGCAUUUUGUUAUGGCAGCUUGAGAACACUACUCCAAGGCACCAACACAAUAUAUCAAAUAAGAAUCAAUGCUCAUUGCUGCUUUCAAAGACAGGGGCAAGAGGUCACCUGCUAUGAGCUGCCUACUCCCUGAAAUUAUUUGCUAAGCAACCAAGUCCUUUUUAAAACAAACCUUUUUUAUUUUAUAUUGGAGAAUAGCCUAUUAACAGUGUUGUGAUAGUUUCAAGUGGACAGCAAAAGGACUCAGCCAGACAUACAUGAGUAUCCAUUCUCCGCAAAUUCCAUACCUCCCCCCAUCCCCAACAUUGAGAAGACUUACCUGUACUAUACAGUAGGUCCUUGUUAUCCAUUUUAAAUACCCAUCCCAAACUCCCUAACUAUCCCUUUCCCCCAGUCUCCCCACAACCCC